GGGGGCUCAGUGGUAGAGCACUUGCCUUGCAUGCAUGAGGUCUGGGUUCAAUUCCUCAGCACCA
rnacentral:tRNA from 1 species